CCGGUUCGUGCACCGCAGGCAGGCAGGCUCGCUCGCUCGCUCCCGGUGGGCUUCGUGCCUUCUGGGGAGGCAGCCGCGGGGUCUCGGGCGCGCUCGGAGCCGGCAUUACAAGAGCCCCCCCACCCCACCCCGGAAAUGGGGGCGAUAAGGGGGGGCUCCUUCCCUUUGAGCGCCUGCCCGGACUCUGAUGGGGGGGGGGCUACGGGGAGGCCUCUGGGUCCGUCCUGGGGUCCGGCAGGCGCGGCAGGAAGCGAGGCGGCCUUUCCUGCUGGCGCAGAGAAGCGGAGGAGGUGGGGGGACCCGCAGCUGCGCAACGCCGCCCACGCCGAGGGCCUCUCCCUGCAGCAGCCGGAGGAGGGGCGAGGGGCGGGGGGGCUCCAGCCGGGGCGUCUCGCGAAGGAGCCCUUGUCCGUCCGCCCGUCUCCCUCCCGGGUGGCCCUGAGCUCCGUGGGCGCCCGCGGGCCGCUCUGGCUGUUGGAGGCCCGUGCCAGGUUCCCGCUUCUGCAGGAGACGCUCGACGCCCGCGUGGCCGCCACGGAUCGCUGUUUGCAGGUAGCCCAACUUCCCUUCGCUCGCUUGUCUGCCACGCGCCCCCCCGUCCGUCUGUGCCGUUGACUGGUGGCCGAAUGGGCUGCGCGGUGCUUGUGCUGACCUCUGGCCAGGAGGGAGGAGAGCCAAGGCAGCCCGUUGAGGGCCUUCAAGCCAGCAGUGCAUCGCUCCGAAGAGGCUCGCUCUCUCCCAGGAAAGGACAGAGGUCAUUUUAGGAGAUUACCGACCUUUAUGCUCCCCACUAGUUUCACUGUCACUUGUGUGCUUCUCAUCAAAGCCUUGUAGGAAUGUAGCUCAGGCAAAUUAAAUCACAAAGCGUCUUCUCUGAGGUGCUAAACAUCUAACCAGGGAUGAAGGGGAGGGAAAUUUCUCCAUCUUGACUUCUGAACAGUAGAAAGUUUUAAGAAUAAUAAACCUUGAAAACCAGUUUCUUUACUAGCACAAGACUGAAGUUGGGCCUAUGUGUCCCGCCAGAUUCAACCUGGUUAGGGUUAGUUGGUGUGACUGCAAUGCUUCUGGCUGCAAAAUAUGAAGAGAUCUAUGCACCGAGUAUUUUGGAUUUUGUUUACAUAACCAAUAAAGCAUACAAGUCCACUCGGAUUCGGGAAAUGGAGCAGAAUAUCUUGAAAAAGCUGAAUUUUGUGCUGGGCUAGCCAUUACCACUCCACUUCCUGAGGAGAGCAGCCAAAGUUUCAGAAGUACGUCUCUCCCCAGCUCUUUGGGCAUUGGGCUGAAUUGGGUGCAGGAUCAGAUAAGGGAAGUGGGUGCCAGGAAGGUUGUCCAUACAGUCCAACAAAAUUACUAUGUUGAUUUGGGCAGAACAUUUCCACUGCAUAAAUUUAAUACAGGGGAUUGGAGUGGGGGAAUAGGUGCACAAAUACCAAGUCCCAGAAAUGCAGGCAGUUCCCUGAGCAGAUUUGGCUUUCAAGCAAGGCAGCUUUGUUCCUGCUUUGAGGUUUCCAAAUGGCUUGGGAGGAAGGCACAGCAGAGAGUGAGGGGUGGAGCAAGUGGGGCAGGAAUAGAGAGUGUUCCGAAUCUGACUAGAGCGUCCCUUCAAGGCAAAAGCAGUAGGCGUGCAGGAGACUGGAAGUUGUGGGAUGCCCCUCCCUAGAGAAAAGCACUCAAAGCCCCCUUCGAGGCUGAAGACCGAUGGUUGGCUUUGGUCCUUUAUUUCCAGCCUUCUGCUGAAACGUACCUGCUAGCAAAAUACUUGAUGGAACUAUUGUGGACUACAAGAUGGUGCAUUACAAUCCUUCGGAGAUUGCAGCUGCGGCGCUCUGCCUCUUGAAGGUCUUCUCUCAGGGCCAGUGGCUCAAGGAACAGAGCAGAAAAUCAAGGAGGAAAAAACAGGAACCGUGGAGAUGCAACAAACCCACAAAGGUCAGCCCAGAAUCCAGAAGCGUUGACCAUGCGCAGGGACAGGCCAGGGAGAACCAGGAGGUGAAAGCCGGGGAUGAUAGGCAGGGGUCAAGAAGAGCUUCCUAAAGCCCCAGGCCUUUUGUCCAGAAUGGUUAAUGGACUGUUUGGCAUUUCAAGCGCCUCCUCCAGCCAGAGGCUUCUCAGGUGCCCUCAUCGUAAGGGAUCCCCACGGGCCAUUGCUGCCCCCCACCCCCUUCUGGUCCUUGGAGCUGCUUGGCCAGUCUCAAAACUACACCUGGGGUCAGACCAGGAGGGCAGGUGAGGACACGGAUGGAAGUGGAAAGGAGUCCCUCUCGGACCUCUUUAGCAAAAGCCGUUAGAUUGAGUCAACCUUGUCUUUGUUCCCAGGCAGCUGCAAUCAGGACCCUUUUCGCACAGAAGCAGUUCUUAUCAAGUGGGAUGUGGGGAGGGAAGCUCUGGUAAGGAAACUUACCAGAGUUUCCUGGAAAUCAGAUUUGUCACUGAUGUCUUCCACUUGGUAGGAUCCUGAGAGGCUCAAGUAGUGAUAGUAGUCCAUGUUGGUGAUGCCCAGGCUUGUCUUUUGCUCAUUGGAAGCGCCUUCAAUCAGCUGCAGGAUAACACCCCCCCCAAGGUAAGUUAGCCCACUUUGUGUUGUGUUUGGGAGAGGUAGAGAAUUUGGGUUCACCUAUUGAGGUGGGGGUGGGGGGAGCACUGCUUUCAUCCUUACUAGGGCUUCAAAGGAAAAUGGCCAUUUCUUUGUCCAAUGAAAACUACCCCUGAGAGCGUAGGGCAGCCUUUGGGCAGGGAAUUCCCACCAAUAUUGGGCCCCCGGGAGAAAGGCUCAGUCUUGGAUCAGAAGGUCCUAUGCAGCUCGCCUGAGGAGCCCAGCAGAAGAGCUCCAGGGACGGCCGUAGUUACAUCAGGACUACGAAUGGGGUACUUGCCGGCUGGGGGAUUAUGGGGGAGGUGGUCCAAAAGGCCUAAAAAACUCCAGCUGGCCCUCCCAGAGGAGCAAGAGCAGCCCAACUUGCCCAACGGUCUGGGGGCCUCUUCUUCAACCUCCCAUUCCCAGGCAACUGCUGACCUGGUAAAAAAUGUGGAAGCUCCUCUCCCCGGGAUUCCUCAUGACCACUCGGGAUUUCUCCAGCAGGAAGUUGGAGAUCUUGCCUCCGUCUGGCUCCCCACCUGGACUAAACUGGAUUUCAAAGUAUUUCCCCUGCAACAAAGGGAGGAUGUCAGUGACUGAAGGAGGCCUCUCGAGUGGCGUGGCCACAGGAGUGGAGAGCCAGAGAGCUCCCCUUCCUCUCUGGGGGUUCAAAUGGGGGGGUCACAGUGUAUGCCUGGCUCUCCCCUUAUAUCCCCCCACAUCCUUCACCCCCGGGGGGCAGAAAGGAAGCGGGCAGAAGAAACGAUGGCCCCAAACCAUCUGGUGCUGCUCUGGCAAAGGACCACAUGGCGUGACUCACAAAUCUGCUGGAGUUGUUGUUGCGAACUGUCUUGGCAUUCCCAAAGGCCUCCAGAAGAGGGUUGGACUGCAGAAUGAUAUCCUUCACAUGCUGAAAGCCAGAAAGCGGAAGUCAGGCUUUGGAUGAAGGUCCUCCUCCUUGCCCCCUCCCCCUCCUCCUUUUGCUGGAUCAUCCAGGUGGUUCUUAGGCAGGAAUCUCCCCUCCCCAACAGUUACAGAGGAGAGGAGGCACCAGGCCACCCGCCUUGACCCGAGCAGACUGAAGCAAUGGCCAGUGAGCAACUGACCUCUUUCUGCACCCUACAGCUCUAACCCUCUGCCUCAGGAAAUCGGGGCUUUUCUACCCAAGGGGUGCCCACCCUCAACAUGAGAUACCAAAAGACCCGUUUAGCACUCCUUGCAUUGACACCCUUUCCGUCUUAAAUCACAGAUGUUAACAAGGUUGCCAUUAAUUACACCAGUACUGAAAUCAAUGACCAACUAUCUCCUUUGCAGUCAGGAAGGCUCCAUCCCCUGCCUCUACCUGUUUCCUGGCCACAUUGCUGCCUAAAUCUGACUCACAGGGAAAAAAUGGGUCUCUUCCCCUUCCUAGAAAUAACUGAGCAGCUUAUUUAUAGAGGGCGAUUAAGCCCAUUCCAAAAACAACAGUUGCUCCCUCCUUGGCUGGUUACGGAUCCAAACGGAGGCGGGCUGUGAUCUUCCAUGGCAACGCGGGAAAAAGACAUAACCAGCGAGACUCUUGCAGUGCCAAUAAAUUACAGGGAGCCGAGACCCAAGGAAAGCAGCUGCCUGGCUUGUCCAAAAGUCUCCCUGCUCCUCCUCUCACCUGCACUUUGGGGCCGCCUCCGGAUAUCUUGGAGAUGUAGCUCAUGAUGUACUUGGCUCCCACAGUCUUCCCAGCACCACUUUCUCCACUGGGAAAAAUUAGGGUUAGGGUUAGCCCUCGUUGCAACCGUUCCAAGCAGAGUCCUCAAGAACAACCAUUUAUGUCCCCAAAGCCUUAACCUCCUGCAGUUCCACCUGCCCUGAGCCGGGAGAUCAGAACCCCCUUCCCACUGGUCAUUUUGCCUGAACCCCUGAAGAAUGGCCAAUGCUUCAUUUUCCCUCCAUCCAUUGGGAGCCAGGGUUAAAGCUGAGGGUACCAUGUUGCAUUGCCAGGCAACUCUGGGUAUGGCAAGUGCUGCGCUCUAGGCACCAGCAUCAGAGACUCCCUCGUCCCUGACUGCAGGGGUGGGGUGUAAGGCUGAAAGGCUCCUCCUGCCAGACCAAGGGUUAGGGCCAUCCUGGGCAGCUGACCUCUUGGGUGCUUGAGAUUCAGUUCUUCUGCAAAUUUGCAUGGUUUUAUCUAUCAGGAUCCCGGUGAAUUUGCUAAGUACAAAACUCAGGAGGACAAGAAUGCAAUAUUUAUGAGCCACAAGAAGCCGUUCCAAGGCAGUUUGACUCCUCCCAAGUCCUCCUGGAGUGUCCACGAAGUCCUCCUGGCAACGGUGGCCAUUCCAGCCAAAGGUUCCUUGUAGGGCAAUUGCCUUCUAUUGCUUUUCCAAUAAGUAGCAAGCAGAUGCAUUGUCUUUUCUAAUUCUGUCCCUCUUGGGGCUGCCCCACCAGACCUGGUCUGCAAAAGCCUUUCAAAAAUAAAGCUAGGAUGUGCGACUAAAACCACUGGGAAAGAAACAUUAUGGGAACUCUAUUUUGGUAGCUAUUAGCUGUUCCCAUCUACAGUUACAAAAAUACUGCAGUGCCUAUUGGAGAGUUCUGAAAGUCAACACAAAGAGAAAAAAGUCAUCAGGAAAAAAAAACAAUGUGACUCAAAGGUUUUGGCUUAGUGUGAUGACUGUGCACAUACCUACUGCAGCUUAGCAGUUUGGGUCAAGAAUGAUGGCUUCUCCAACAAACCAUGGUUUAAAAACCUUGCUUAGCAUCUGUGAACGCAGUCAAAGAAUUUUUGCAGGCACCAAGAUCAAAUGUAUUUUAAAUCUUGCUGCCGCUUCCUUUUUUGAAAAAUAAAAUAAUAAAAAAUAAA